rnacentral:rRNA from 1 species
UACGUAGGGUGCGAGCGUUAAUCGGAAUUACUGGGCGUAAAGCGUGCGCAGGCGGCGCGUUAAGUCAGGUGUGAAAGCCCCGAGCUUAACUUGGGAAUUGCGCUUGUGACUGGCGUGCUGGAGUGUGGCAGAGGGAGGUGGAAUUCCACGUGUAGCAGUGAAAUGCGUAGAGAUGUGGAGGAACACCGAUGGCGAAGGCAGCCUCCUGGGCCAGCACUGACGCUCAUGCACGAAAGCUAGGGGAGCGAACGGG